rnacentral:lncRNA from 1 species
UUUUAUACAGCAGGCCGAGUCGGUAGAAGUGUUACUGGCGCAGCCUCCAAUCGGUCUAAAGGGGAGGCGAAAUCUCCCUAGGAGAAAGAAACAUAUGCUGUGUUUUCAGAUUUCUUCAACCAUUUUUUUGAAGCACACCGUUCUGAUUGGAGAGGUUGAGCAAAUGAAGAAGCUCCUCAAUAAAGCUUUGGCAAACAAAAUUAAUUACUUUAUGAAAUCAAAAGAUUAACCAAGGAAUGGCACAUCAAAUAAAAUAUUUUGUUUGAUUUCUGUGUUCA